rnacentral:rRNA from 1 species
UCUGCCCCACACCCUCUGCAAAGGGGAGUUGGCGGGGCAAG